rnacentral:rRNA from 1 species
UACGAAGGGGGCUAGCGUUGUUCGGAAUCACUGGGCGUAAAGCGCGCGUAGGCGGACUCUUAAGUCGGUGGUGAAAUCCUGGAGCUCAACUCCAGAACUGCCUUCGAUACUGAGAGUCUCGAGUCCGAGAGAGGUGAGUGGAACUGCGAGUGUAGAGGUGGAAUUCGUAGAUAUUCGCAAGAACACCAGUGGCGAAGGCGGCUCACUGGCUCGGUACUGACGCUGAGGUGCGAAAGCGUGGGGAGCAAACAGG